UGAAAUCCUAUAAGACGCCGGAUGCCCGU
rnacentral:piRNA from 1 species